rnacentral:rRNA from 1 species
AUCGAACGCUGGCGGCAGGCCUAACACAUGCAAGUCGAGCGAGCGGCGGACGGGUGAGUAAUGUAUGGGGACUGCCCGAUAGCGGGGGAUAACUACUGGAAACGGUAGCUAAUACCGCAUACUAUCGGAUAACCCAUAUGGGAUUAGCUAGUUGGUGAGGUAAUGGCUCACCAAGGCGACGAUCCCUAGCUGGUCUGAGAGGAUGAUCGGCCACACUGGGACUGAGACACGGCCCAGACGCCUACGGAGGCAGCAGUGGGGAAGAUUGCGCAAUGGGCGCAAGCCUGAUGGAGCCAUGCCGCGUGUAUGAAGAAGGCCCUAGGGUUGUAAAGUGCUUUCAGUCGGGAGGCGUUACCGACAGAGGAAGCACCGGCUAACUCCGUGCCAGCAGCCGCGGUAAUUC